rnacentral:rRNA from 1 species
AAUCAGUGUGUGUGUUAGUGGAAGCGUCUGGAAAGGCGCGCGAUACAGGGUGACAGCCCCGUACACAAAAAUGCACAUAUUGUGAGCUCGAUGAGUAGGGCGGGACACGUGGUAUCCUGUCUGAAUAUGGGGGGCCCAUCCUCCAAGGCUAAAUACUCCUGACUGACCGAUAGUGAACCAGUACCGUGAGGGAAAGGCGAAAAGAACCCCGGCGAGGGGAGUGAAAAAGAACCUGAAACCGUGUACGUACAAGCAGUGGGAGCACGCUUAGGCGUGUGACUGCGUACCUUUUGUAUAAUGGGUCAGCGACUUAUAUUCUGUAGCAAGGUUAACCGAAUAGGGGAGCCGAAGGGAAACCGAGUCUUAACUGGGCGUUAAGUUGCAGGGUAUAGACCCGAAACCCGGUGAUCUAGCCAUGGGCAGGUUGAAGGUUGGGUAACACUAACUGGAGGACCGAACCGACUAAUGUUGAAAAAUUAGCGGAUGACUUGUGGCUGGGGGUGAAAGGCCAAUCAAACCGGGAGAUAGCUGGUUCUCCCCGAAAGCUAUUUAGGUAGCGCCUCGUGAAUUCAUCUCCGGGGGUAGAGCACUGUUUCGGCAAGGGGGUCAUCCCGACUUACCAACCCGAUGCAAACUGCGAAUACCGGAGAAUGUUAUCACGGGAGACACACGGCGGGUGCUAACGUCCGUCGUGAAGAGGGAAACAACCCAGACCGCCAGCUAAGGUCCCAAAGUCAUGGUUAAGUGGGAAACGAUGUGGGAAGGCCCAGACAGCCAGGAUGUUGGCUUAGAAGCAGCCAUCAUUUAAAGAAAGCGUAAUAGCUCACUGGUCGAGUCGGCCUGCGCGGAAGAUGUAACGGGGCUAAACCAU